rnacentral:rRNA from 1 species
AGGACGAACGCUGGCGGCGUGCUUAACACAUGCAAGUCGAACGGUAAGGCCCUUCGGGGUACACGAGUGGCGAACGGGUGAGUAACACGUGGGUGAUCUGCCCUGCACUUCGGGAUAAGCUUGGGAAACUGGGUCUAAUACCGGAUAUGGCUACGAAUCGCAUGGUUUGUGGUGGAAAGCUUUUGCGGUGUGGGAUGGGCCCGCGGCCUAUCAGCUUGUUGGUGGGGUGAUGGCCUACCAAGGCGACGACGGGUAGCCGGCCUGAGAGGGUGUCCGGCCACACUGGGACUGAGAUACGGCCCAGACUCCUACGGGAGGCAGCAGUGGGGAAUAUUGCACAAUGGGCGCAAGCCUGAUGCAGCGACGCCGCGUGAGGGAUGACGGCCUUCGGGUUGUAAACCUCUUUCAGUAUCGACGAAGCGCAAGUGACGGUAGGUACAGAAGAAGGACCGGCCAACUACGCGCCAGCAGCCGCGGUAA